rnacentral:rRNA from 1 species
AUGUGGUCUGCCCGGCCUACUCCUUCGCCGGCCUCCUGGUCCCCAUCGCGUGGCCGGGGGAGCGACUACUGUCGGGCCAGACCUACUUCGUGGUCCCUCGGCGCGUCCUCUCCAACCCUCCCGGCGGCAACAGCAGCGGCAAGGCGGCCACGCUCGCGUAGUUGUUGGCUGCGUCAGGGGGCAGGAAGACGGGGGCAGCUUGCAGGCCACGGCAGUGCCCGUUCGAGUACGUCAAGAGCGGCCCACUCGUUCGUCAGCCUCCUGGUCCCCAUCGCGUGGCCGGGGGAGCGACUUCUGCCUGGCCAGAGCUACUUCGUGGUCUGCCCGGCCCGGUCCUUCGUCGGCCUCCUGGUCCCCAUCGCAUGGCCGGGGGAGCGACUACUGCCGGGCCAGACCUGUUUCGUGGUCCCCCGGCGCCUCCUGUCCAACCCUCCUGGCGGCAACAGCAGCGGCAAGGCGGCCACGCUUGGAUCGCUGUUGGCCGCGCCGGGGGCAGGAAGACGUGGGCAGCUUGCAUGCCACGUACAGUGCCCGUUCGAGUACGUCAAGGGCGGCGAUGAUGGCUCCACGGUGCUUAUCCGGGUCCUGCUGCAGUUCAUCGAGAAGCGUCAACGGCUGCCGGCUAGCGCGCGUCGGGAAGGGUGA